AGAUGGCGACCGGCGCACGGGUGAGUAACACGUAUCCAACCUGCCGAUAACUCGGGGAUAGCCUUUCGAAAGAAAGAUUAAUACCCGAUGGUAUACUCAGACCGCAUGGUUUGAUUAUUAAAGAAUUUCGGUUAUCGAUGGGGAUGCGUUCCAUUAGGCAGUUGGUGAGGUAACGGCUCACCAAACCUUCGAUGGAUAGGGGUUCUGAGAGGAAGGUCCCCCACAUUGGAACUGAGACACGGUCCAA
rnacentral:rRNA from 1 species